GCUCAUUCCUCUACCUGCCCUUCCACACCUCGGACCCAAGCUAGGGGGAAGGCCUGUACUUUCCUUCUCUCCACAUGCUGUUGUCUACACUGUGUUAUAUUUGUUCAAUGGCAACUUGGCAGAUACGAUCCAGCUGCAAUGCCCCACUCUCCAUGUGGAUGCCGUAGCUCAAAGCAGACCCUUAUGACCAUUUACGCAGGAAGGAGGCGACUAGAAGAGCUCAUCCUUCCCCACAUCAUGUCUGACACUCACCGAAUGAUCCCCAGUGGAUUAUGAAGUUGUUGGCUCUGUGUUACGUUCCGUCAGGAGCAAAGGACAGGCUCCUUCUCCAUUUGAGUGCAAGUGAACGGAAGGAGAGAUUCAGUGCCACGGCCGGCGAGGAAGAAGAUGAAUCCUUGGACACGCGUGAGGUCAAGUUUAGGAAGAGUCAUUGUCAAGUGAUACAUAGAAGUCAGUUUGGAGAGCUCUGCGUGUUUCCAAGCCAAAUGUAUGGGGUGCUCAUUCUCCAACGUCAUGUAAUGGAAACCAAGCCAAAGAUGUAGAAGGAGAAGCUCCAUGUUUGAUGGCUGCUUCUGCUCCUGAUUCAAUGUGACAACGGCAAAGAGAGUCGGAGACGCCCAUCAUUAUGCAUCGUGGUGUGUUGCCAACAGAAGGCAGCGGGAUGAGACGCAGGGAGAUAUUCCAUCUCGAUGAACUAGGACAUGCACAAAACUUGAGGAAUCUGUAUAUCAAGGCACAGACAGGAAACAGAGACACGAUGCAAAGUUCUCUUUUCAGAAGUAGAGACAAACCUAGAGAAAUAGGAAUUGCUCUUGAGUCGGUCGAGCCAAUAUAAGAAUGGCACGACUAUAGGACUAAUAACACUAGCAACACUUUUAAGGCAUUGUAAGGUUGUAAGGCAGAGUGCUCUUAGUUCAUUGGCUUCGUGCCCUACCAGAAUCAACAACAUAGAAACAACUGUGUAUAUAUGAUACAUACUUAGUACCUGGAAGAUAAUUACAGAGGCAGGACUGGCAAUAGAUGGAGGAUGGAUGUGGGAAAGGCUUCUUGAAGAAGGCAGACUUUUAACUGAAUUUUUAAGGAAACCAGAAAGCCUUUAGUCAUUUUUGCAGACAGAGAAAAAGAAACACAGAAUUAAUUUGGAUAUAUAAAGCAGUAAAAACAAAUCGAGGUAAGUCUUUUCUUUCAAAGGGGGAAGGAAGAGGGUCUAUCAGUGGCAGAUCUGAAACUGGACUACAGAGUACUAAUGAUUAAAACAGUUGGGGGAGAGAGAGAGAGAGAGAGAGAGAGAGAGAGAGAGAGAGAGAGAGAGAGAGAGAGAGAGAGAGAGAGAGACAGAGAGAGAGAGAGAGAGAGAGAGAGAGAGAGAGAGAGAGAGAGAGAGAGAGAGAGAGAGAGAGAGAAGGAGGGAGAGAGAGACAGAGAGAGAGAGAGAGACAGAGACAGAGACAGAGACAGAGAGACAGAGACAACGAAUUUAGUAUUUGAUAAGCCCCAAUCCCCCAGCUCCUGAGACACUAACCUUCCCCCUUUCUCUUCCAGAGUAGAUACGGUAUGAGAUGGCUGUCCAUGCCCAAGUUCCCUGCCAUCAUAAUUAUAUAAAUCCAAGCCAAACAAGUCUGAGAUUUCAUAUCAGCAUUUAGAUGGACAAAGAUUCAGAGAAAAGAAUGGGAUAUAUAUUGAAAGGACAGAAGGACAACAGGAACCCGACGGUUUUUGGAGAUGUUAAUUGUUCCAACCAUUAUUCUGCUCAUUAAGUUACUAAAAUGCAAAAAUCCUUCACCCAACAUCACUAGGAGGCCCAUAUCUCAAAGAAACAAAGAAAGGGGGAAAAGACCCACAUAAAAAUACUUGUAAUAGCUCCUUUGGGGAGGCAAGAAACUUGAAACUAAGCUAAUUGCCAUUAGCUGUGGAAUAGCUAAGCAUAUGUUAUACAAAUGUAACAUAAAUGCUUUCAGCCUAAGAACUAAUAAAAUGGAUGAUUUCAGAG
rnacentral:lncRNA from 1 species